rnacentral:tRNA from 1 species
CCGGCCGUGUCCGGCGGUAUCGCGGACCCGGUGCCGUCGCCGCCGGCGGCGCUGUUGGAGCCGGCCGGGUCGGCC